rnacentral:rRNA from 1 species
AGGACGAACGCUGGCGGCGUGCUUAACACAUGCAAGUCGAGCGGUAAGGGCCCUUUCGGGGGUACGACGAGCGGCGAACGGGUGAGUAACACGUGGGUGACCUGCCCUCAGCUCUGGGAUAAGCCUGGGAAACUGGGUCUAAUACUGGAUAUGACUCCACGGUGCAUGUCGUGGGGUGGAAAGCCUUGUGCGGCUGAGGAUGGGCCCGCGGCCUAUCAGCUUGUUGGUGGGGUGAGGCCUACCAAGGCGACGACGGGUAGCCGGCCUGAGAGGGCGACCGGCCACACUGGGACUGAGACACGGCCCAGACUCCUACGGGAGGCAGCAGUGGGGAAUCUUGCGCAAUGGGCGAAAGCCUGACGCAGCGACGCCGCGUGAGGGAUGACGGCCU